rnacentral:lncRNA from 12 species
CAAAAAGUUAAAAGUCAAUUAAGGAAUGUUAGAUGUGGUUAGUAUCUAAAACCAACACCCUCCAGCCCCCAAAGCGUUAAGAGAAGCAUGGUUUGAAUCCUGAAAGAUAAAGAAGUACAAUUUGCAUGCAUUUUCAGUAAGCUGUUUUGUAAGUCUGUUUUCCCUGUCUCAGUCAUAUCCCUUAAAUCUGAGAAGAGUGACUUAGUGACUUUUGUCUACUCUGAAAGAAGUUGUUUUGUCUUACUUCUAUUUGAACUACAUAUUCAGCUCUGAAAGGACAGGCCUGUCACAACUGAGAGCUGUUUGCUCUUCUCCAUGUUGCUUGAGUUUCCAUGUCUUCUGCUUGGCAUAAAAACCAGACAAAACCCAAGGAUUUCAGCCUUCAUCUCCUGAACACCAGUGACAGAAUUGAGUCACCAAGCUUCCCAGGCUCCUCAG